UACGUAGGGUGCAAGCGUUGUCCGGAAUUAUUGGGCGUAAAGAGCUCGUAGGCGGUUCGUCGCGUCGGCUGUGAAAUCCCGGAGCUCAACUCCGGGUCUGCAGUCGAUACGGGCGGACUCGAGUUCGGCAGGGGAGACUGGAAUUCCUGGUGUAGCGGUGAAAUGCGCAGAUAUCAGGAGGAACACCGGUGGCGAAGGCGGGUCUCUGGGCCGAUACUGACGCUGAGGAGCGAAAAGCGUGGGGAGCGAACAGG
rnacentral:rRNA from 1 species